GACGAACGCUGGGGCGUGUUUAACACGUGCAAGUCGAACGUGAUUUUUGUGGAAGUUCCUUCGGGAAUGGAAGUAAAAUGAAAGUGGGGGACGGGUGAGUACACGUGAGUACCUACCUUAACAGGGGGAUAGCCGUGGAAAGGAGAUUAUACCGCUGGACCACAGUACCACUGGAUAGGGUAAAGUUUAUGGUGUAGUGGGUCCGUUGAUAGCUAGUUGGAAGGGAAGGCUACAAGGAACGAUCAGAGCCGGUCUGGAGGAUGACGGCCCAUUGGACUGAGAACGUUAAUUCUACGGAGGAGCAGUGGGGAUAUUGACAAUGGGGGAAUCUGAUGCGCGCGGCGCGUGAGCAGGAGGUUUGAAUGUAAAUUCUGCCUAUGAGAGAUAAUGACGGUUCUUGGGGGAGCCUGCUUAAUACUGCCGCAGCGCGUAUAGUAUGGGGCAGCGUGUCGGAAUUUUGGCUAAGGGGAUGGGGCGCUAUAAGCGAAUGAAGCGGGGUUAACUAUUUAACUGAACUGGGCUGGGGAGGGGGGAGGGAAUCUAAGGUGCGUGAUUGUAAGAAUUAGUGAAAGGGUGGGGUGGGACUUUUGGCUUUUAUGGGCUAGUCGAAGCGGGGGGAAAAGAUAUAACCUUUGUGGGAGGGGAUCAAAGGGAAUAAUUUAUGAAGGCGACGCCGGG
rnacentral:rRNA from 1 species